GCUGAGUGCGGGCCAGGAGCUGGGGGAAUACGAAGGAGUGAAGUGUUGUUCGGAGGUACUGGGCGUAAAGGGAGCGUAGGCGGUUGGAUAAGCCCUCCGUGAAAUCUCCAGGCUUAACCUGGAAAGGGCAGAGGGGACUGUUCAGCUAGAGGAUGGGAGAGGAGCGCGGAAUUCCCGGUGUAGCGGUGAAAUGCGUAGAGAUCGGGAGGAAGGCCGGUGGCGAAGGCGGCGCUCUGGAACAUUUCUGACGCUGAGGCUCGAAAGCGUGGGGAGCAAACAGGAUUAGAUACCCGAGUAGUC
rnacentral:rRNA from 1 species